CGUUUAGGGGUAAACCUGAGAAACCCGAAAGGUCGAAGAAAGAAAUUCAUUCGCGUUUCGAUAUGAGCGAUAGGCGGUCGCGUGACGGAGUCAUUCGUGAUUUCCGCGCCUUCAGUCUUUCGAACUUGUAACGAACGCGUGCACUUUUCUUUUGGUAGGACGUCGCGAUCCGUCGAGUGUCGGUCUAAGACUUGCGGUGGAGCCCGUUCGUCAUCGUUUCGAUGAUGAACGGACCCGUUUGUUCCGGCCGACUCGCUCGACGGUAUAAUAAAGGUUAAAGGCCGCUCAAAGAGCGUUCGACUCGCUGCAAGCGCGCCAGAUGUGUCGGCGACCGGACCUAGUGCCGAUCCCGACCUCCGGUGACUGUUGGCGGCGAAGUUCUCGAACAGACCUUCUCUAUUAACCGAUCUGCGACGCUAUAGCUUUGGGUAAUUUCAGGACCCGUCUUGAAACACGGACCAAGGAGUCUAGCAUGUGCGCAAGUCAUUGGGAAUUACUAAACCUAAAGGCGCAAUGAAAGUAAAGGUUUUCCUUGCGAAGACCGAGGGAAGACGGGCGGUUCGCCUUUAAAAGCGGCCGCCUCGCACUCCCGGGGCGUCUCGUUCUCAUUGCGAGAAGAGGCGCACCAAGAGCGUACACGCUGGGACCCGAAAGAUGGUGAACUAUGCCUGGUCAGGACGAAGUCAGGGGAAACCCUGAUGGAGGUCCGUAGCGAUUCUGACGUGCAAAUCGAUCGUCGGAACUGGGUAUAGGAGCGAAAGACUAAUCGAACCAUC
rnacentral:rRNA from 1 species